GGAAAAACACCAAAAACUGUCUUCUUAUUUGGUAUGGAAUUUUCUGAUCAGAAAGCAUAGAAGAUUGGAAAGUUCACGGAAUAUGAUCUUCAGCUCUACCACUAGAUAUGUAGCCUUGAGCAGAGACAGUUCCAUCGAAGCAGGGUACCUCACGGCAGAAAAUCCGGGGAUUCCAAGGUGGAAGGCUGGCCCAGAAGUCCUUUGGAAAACCUUACAAAAAUACAGAUCCCCUCACCAUGGCCUAUCGCCCCGAAGCCGAAAUCUAGCUUGUAUAUUUCCUGGGAGGAACAGCCUUGAAUAGAAACCUUCCUCCCGCGCGGGUCGAUCUUACCUGCUAGGUAAGAGGCAACCCAGCUCCCACGCCCCCGCCUCCCCCGGGCCUCCCACUAGGGGCUCCACAGCCGCAGUGCCCCCCCGUCGCCCCCACCCUCACUCCUGCGUCUUCCCGAGCUCGUCCCCUCCCGUUUUCCCAGACUCCCCUCGUGCUUUCGGGUAGCCACCCAAACACCCCCGCCCGCGCCCGCCGCGGGGAUUCCUGAGGGCCCGGGGCGCCCUGGGUGGCGCACGGGGAGGGAGGCGCUGCGCCCGGGCUGGCGGCCGCGCAGGGGCGCUGUC